CAUUAGAUGGCUGAAAGAAAGCAAUGGAAUUUUAAACCAUCUAAUAGUAAUUAACGUCUACUUCUAAUGA
rnacentral:tRNA from 1 species